GGCUAACGCUGGCGGCGUGUCUUAGCCAUGCAAGUCGAGCGGACUUAUGGGGUAACUUAUAAGUCAGCGGCGGACGGCGGAGUAACACGUAGCUAACCUACCCUCUGGACGGGGAUAACCUACCGAAAGGUGGGCUAAUACCCGAUGUAGUCAUCCUGUAUAGGGGUGAUGAAAGGUGGGCUUCUGUUUACAAGCUCAUGCUGGAGGAGGGGGCUGCGGCCUAUCAGGUAGUUGGUAGGGUAAUAGCCUACCAAGCCGAUGACGGGUAGCCGGCCUGAGAGGGUGACCGGCCCGAGGGGCACUGAGAUACGGGUCCCACUCCUACGGGAGGCAGCAGUGGGGAAUCUUGCGCAAUGGGGGCAACCCUGACGCAGCCAUGCCGCGUGAACGAUGAAGGCCUUAGGGUUGUAAAGUUCUUUUACCCGUGACGAUGAUGACGGUAACGGGGAAUAAGCUCCGGCUAACUUCGUG
rnacentral:rRNA from 1 species